ACACACACACACACACACACACACACACACACACACACUCUCUCUCAUUCUCUGUCCACCCCCCACACCCUUCACAUACACACGCACACACAAAUCCACGUACACGCACUUCACACCUGCUCUCUGCCUCGAAUUCCCGCUCACUCUCCUCUUUAAGCGUCCAAAAUGGCGGCAGCCUCGUCCGUCCAGCCGCCGAGCGUCCACUCCUCUCUCGUCCCGGACGUUGCACUUUCUCCGGCGAUGAACUGUCCCGAGAGCCAGCAGCCGGAGGACGAAGAGGUGGCGGCGGCGGCGGCGGCAGCGACAGCGCAGCCCACGGAGCCGUGGACGAGCCUCCGUGACUUGCCGGAGCUGGAACCCGAGGAGAUUGAGAAGAGGCUCGCCAAAACUCGCCAGGAGCUGAGCAACAGGAGGAAAAUCCUCAUCAAGAACCUCCCGCCCGACUCAACUAACCAGGAAGUCCAUGAAAUCUUAAAAGAAUAUGAACUGAAGUACUGCUUUGUUGAUCGCAAUAAAGGCACAGCCUUUGUGACUUUGCUGAACGGGGACCAGGCUCAGGAUGCCAUCCGCUCCCUCCACCACAGCACUGUCCGGGGACGCCUGAUCAAUGUCACCCUGCAGCCUACAGACUCCCUGCUCUGCCUCACCAACCUGCCCCACACCUUCACCGCCCAGCAGUUUGAAGAGCUGGUACGUUCCUAUGGAAACAUCGAGCGCUCCUUUUUGGUGUAUAGCGACCUGACGGGCCAAUCCAAAGGCUAUGGAUUUGUUGAGUACAUGAAGAAGGACUCUGCUUCGCGGGCCCGUUCUGAGUUGCUGGGACGACGACUGGGGGAUCGUUCAUUGAUGGUGCAAUGGAUGGAUGUCAACCAGCUGAGCCAGGAAGAGAACCUGCACUCCAAAUGUGUGUGUGUGGACCGCCUGCCUCUGGAUCUCUGUGAUUCUGAAGAAAUGACCCAAAUCUUCUCAGACACCUACAAACCUGUAUUCUGCCAGCUUGCUCAGGAUGAGGGCAGUCCAGUGCGAGGUUUUGGUGUGGUGGAGUACGAGAGUGCCGAGCAAGCCGAGUCCGUGAUGAUGGAGAUGGACAGGAAACUGGUGGGAGGACAGGAGGUCCGUCUGUCACUCUGUACCCCUGGCACCUCAGGGAGAAGCACUCUGGCCGCGCUUAUUGCCGCCCAGGGAAUGAUUCUAAGUAACAGGAAGGGGCUGCUACCAGAGCCCAACCUAGCUCAGCUGUUGACCAGUAUGACAAAUCCUGCAGCCUUGCAAAUCCUCAUGAGACCUUUUUACACUGGGAAAAGAGGAGGCAAAUAUGGCCGUCACACCAAUCUGCCAUUCCUCAGACCUCCUCUCACCACAGCUCUUCUUACGUUUGGAAGAGCACAUCAGAGAGCCAUGCUCGGUAAUGGACUACUUCUACAGAACCUCCUGCACAUGCAGCUCGCUCAGCAGCAGCUCUUACACAUCAAGGACAAGUGCAUCAGCAGCGCCCCCAGCCUGCUGGGAGACCCGGCGAGGUUGCUGGUGCAGAAAACAUUACCUCUGCGGCCUCCAGGCCUGGUAGCACUUGGCAAAGGCCUCCUGGGAGACUCCCCCUCAGAAUUACACCAGGAGUCUGUUCCAGCAGCUAGCCACAAUACUACAGUGCUGUUGUCAGCAGCAGGUGUGAUGUCCUACCUGCAGCCUCGAGCUGACGGAAGGAAACAAAACGGCAUUCAGACUUUCUGCGCAACCUCAGCUUCCUCUUCUUCGUCCUCCGGCCCCUCUUCCUCCUGCCCCAGCUCCAGUGACAGACAGCCUGUUCCUCCAGGGAGUGUACUGCAAGGACAGAACUACUCAUGUCUGGGUGCAGCUCCACCAAAACCCCCAAGAGGUCUUUAUACGUCCAUGGGGCAUCACAGCAGUUCAGAUAACUCCCAAUUGGCCAGCAUGGUAAGCAAUGGUCAGAGUUCUCUGCUGGGAGAUCCCCCGAAAGAUGUCAGACUUCCUUCCAAUCCGUACCUUAAUCUCGCCAGUGUAAUGCCAGGGAUGGUUCUGCAAGGGUCUCUGGGCAGCAAACCCCAGGGAGGGCAGCCUGUCUUGGCCAUGUACGGCAACACAUCAGCACCCGUUGUCUCCCAGGGCAGCGGCUCCUUCUCCCACAAUGCCGCCGCUCCCGCCGCAACCCCGUACAGUGCCGACGCUUCCGCUGACUACAGCCAGUACAACCAGGCGUACACACAGGAAGCCAUGCAGCAGUGGUACCAGCACUACCAAACAGCACAAGGCUACAGCUCUGCUACACCGCAGGAAAACACAGCCACGGAUUACAACAAGGACCACACACAGGUACCACCUGUUUCCACUUAUGGCGAUUACAGUUCCUACAUGCAGACAGUCACUCAGUACUACUCCCAGUCUACAGCUGCUCAGGCCUUUGCCAACAAGGAAGUCGAUGUGUACAAGUCGCUCGGCGUCUCCCUGCAUGCUGUCAACAAUGGCGUGGCUCCUCCCCCGGCUGUAUUACCCCCUGCUGCCAUGCUGCCGGCCUACAGCACCCUGCCUCUAGUGCCCGGCUUCAUCGGUGCACCGCACCCAGUGGCGGCCACGUCGAGUCCUGUCACGCACCCACACACUGCCCCAACAGACUGGAGUGCCUACUAUUAUAAUCAAACACGGGGCCACAAGAGGGAGUACCCCCAGCGGGCCGUGCAGGAAGUGACGACCUCAGAUGGCGGCUAUGUUGGGCAGCAUUCCCAAGGCCUUGGGGGCCAGUAUGCUGACUAUUACAAGAGAAAGAGGCUCUAGGAUGGCUGCGACCUACAAGGGCUCCCUCUAGUGGCUGCCUCAUGAAGCUUUGAGAUGUGCUUUAGUAUGAGAAUGCUCAAAUAAGAGCAAUUUAGUUGUUUGGUCAAAGCACUUCUAUUUAAAAUCAUUGUAAUGGUGUCAAGCCUUAACACCUUUUUUUUAGUCAGAUAUUAAAUUAUGCUAGUAUUAUAUAUGUAUGUAUACGCUUCUAAAACUACACACUUUGUCUGUGUAAGACCACUUUAUGUAUUUUCCUGUUGUCCUCUUAUAUACAUGGACAAUCGCAAUGUGUGCCUGUGUGUUAAUAAUGCGUGUGCCUAUGCUGUAUCUGUAGGAAGUGUCAGCCAUUUUUAUCCCAACUCUGGGAGGACAUCAGGAAAGUGGACCAAUAAGAGCCCUUAUUUGUGUUGACGGCCGAAAGCUUCUCGCCAUGAGUGACAGAGUAGACAAUGUUGAUCCAGAUUGAGAGGGAAGUGUCAAGGUAGCAGGAGGGUUUGGAGCGAGCUUCACUGCAUCAUCAGAAUCCAGCAUUUAUUAUUGUCAAAAAUAAACUUUCAAUUACUAUUAAUUAAUUUAUUGUAUUGAAAAAAGGACACUGGUCAUUUUGUUCCUGAUGAUUAAACUAAUAUGACAUUUCCAUCACUAUUACAAAUUUAAAUUUUCUUUUAAAAAACAUCUUUGUUGUUUUUUUUGGCAGUACAAGCCAUACUAAAGAUCGAUAGUCAAAUCAUCAAUUGGGAUUUUUCCCAUCUUGUCUUGCAGGGAACUACACAUUCUCUAAAUAUUAUGCUAGAUCAGCGUUUAUUUACUACUUUGUAACAAAUAAUAUAUUUAUUCUUUUAUAGUUUAAAUCAGUGGUUCUCAACAUUAUUUUCACUGAAUCAUCAAAUACUUAUUUACUCACUGAAUGUGUAUAUAUUUAUAUUUUUUAAACCUUUUAAUAUCCUUAUUUGAGAAGCAGUGAUUCAUAUCACAGCUUUGUCAUAAUCCUUUGAAGGAAAGUUGUCAAUUUAUAACAAAAAAAUGUGACAAGAAUGAAGACCUGAACAAUUAUUUAUAAAUUUAUUUAAUUAUUUAUUCACUGUGUUGCAUAAAAUACAAUUUCAAGACUAAAAAUGUAUCUGCAUAAUUUUAUGGCUUUAUUCUUUUAAUGGUUUUUUUCCUGUGUGACCCUAAUACUUAUUUGUCUACAAAUAUUUAGUAUUAUUAUUACUGUGUUUAUUAGUCGAAUUUGACUUGCAUCUCCAUGGCAACCGAGCGCCUACACUGUGAAAAGCAUUAGGCGGUUUAGUUUUUGGGGUAACUUGAUGUGUUCUAACGUACUGUAGUUAUACAACGCAACUUAUUUACUGUAACUUGCAGAAUGACAAAGAUGGAAGCAUCGGGAGCAGUUUACUUUAGUUUGAAUUAUAGUAAAAAAAAAAAAAAAAAAAUUACCUUCACAGUCAUUCGUAAUUAAGACUAUAAAUUAUAAAUGUGUCAAUUGACCAAAAAAUGCAUUUUGUCCACCUCAAGAAAGCUAAAUAACAUCAUUUUGAUGUCAGGCCUGUGUAGAAUUUCACAGCUGCCUCAGUUGGCCACUUGAUGGCAGUGUUGUCUUACCCUGCCGCCUUCCCCUGGUGCAACAUAACUGCCUGUAUAAGGAGUCUUUUUCUACAGGAAGGAGUUGUCAUGCUUCAUCUGCUUACUUUCACUUCUAAGGCAGAUGGUUUUCAUUUUGACCCGCACAGAAAGUAUUAAAAACAUAUUACUGUACAAUUGUAAUGAACAUUCCAGUACUUUGGAAUGGAUGCUGUCAACUUUGUCAAGUGUUGUACAUCAAAAAGCAAAUAUUACCUGUUCUCUGAAUGUCCUGAUGAUUUGUGAUGGACUGUAUGUUGAAAAUGGCGCUGUGAACUGAUGAUGUUCCAUUCAUGAAUUUUCUUAUUUGUCCUUAUUGGGGUCACAGGGGAGCUGGAGCCUAUCCCACUCGACUUUGGGUGACAGGAGUGGGGGUACAUCCUGUACUGGUCGAAAGUCAGUAACAUAAGCAGCUCAUUCACAUUCACACCUUUUUGGAUGUGGGAGACUUACCUUUACAUUUGUCUCACACCAAGAAAUAAGUUCAGAUGCUCAGGUUUUUUUAAGGUUUAGUAAAAAAGAUAAAAAGUGAGAAUUGUGUUUUAACCCUUGUGCACCCCUAGAGUACUACAUGUCUUCUUAAUGUGAUAUAAUUGUUCAGUUUGAAGGUUAACGUCUGAAAUUUGGCCAGGGAGUGUUUUCUUUAUUAUUAUUUUUAUUUACUGUUUUGUGCUUUUGAUUGCAACAUUGUUAGAAUAGGAUAUAAACAAAUUAUACACACUUUCUCUUAAGAGCUUUUUGGCCCCAUUGACUCCCAUUAUAACGGCUAUUUUCUAACAGACUGUAAUCCUGAUACAUUGCUGUCCUUUUUCUCUGAUAACCGAAUUAAUCUCACUCUUGUCAAUUGAAAAAUAAGAAAAUAUUGUUUUGGUUUAUUAGCGCCCCAUAACCACCAAAUGGCACGAGAAAACAAAGAGCAUCAUUCUUAGAGCUUUGAUAAGCGUAAACGAGUUAAACUACAAUUAAACCGCUGAAAUGCAAUGAAAAUGAUGUUGGACAGUUAAAUAGAACAUGGCAGAUAAACAUAAAAGACUUCAAGUCAACCAAGUCCUGCCUGCUUUCUCUCUCUGUCUCACUCAAUAGGUACUAUAAAAUUAUAGCUUUUAUCUACUGUAUCACAAUUAAUGUCAUGACUUAUUGACUUUGUCAAGGCUGUAAUUACCCAAAUGCAACUAUUGCAAACACAUUUUUUGAAAUAUUGAAUAUUUAACAUUUUUCUGUUGUAAAAAACUUUUUUUGUGUUUUUUCUUUUUGUCAAAAAGCCAAUAAAACAAGAGUAAGUGUGUAUAGUCAAUCCUAAAGUUGCACAAGGGUUGAAUAAGAUUAAGAUUUAAAAAAUGUGUUUGGGUCGCUUAGAAUUUGGUUCCCAGAAUGGGGUUUAGUUUUUUUUUUCUUAAAAGAAAUUCAGAAAAACUGUCUUGUAGUCCAAUUUCAGUUUUUGUUAGUUACUGUAUCUGCUCCCAAAAAUCUGACAAACUGAAAGAUUUAAAUCCAAUUAAUCUGUUGCAGACACCCCAAAAAUGACAGCCUACAUUUAGUUUGUUACGUGCAAUGUUAGGCCAUAUGGUACAUAUUGGCCUUAAAUCAAAUCCUACGAAAAGUGGGGCGUACAAAAAAUUAAUUUUGACUGGAAGGUCAAUUACAAGCUGCGAUGGCGUCAAUGAAAAGUGAAAGUGUAUUGUAAAAACAGAAUUAGCUUGUCCACACUAAUGUGACCCCAAAACAAAAUCCGUUUAAAAAUGUAUGACUUUCUUUAUCUGGUAUUGCUUUUGUAUUUUUCCUUAUCAUUGUUCAAAUUACUUUUUGUGUGUGUGUGUGAGCGUGUCGCUAAGGUAACGGAGUGCCUGCACUAUUACAGUGGUAAGAUGGGACUCGCAAUACAGUAAACAAUUGUGCUUUGCCAUAUCUUCAAUAUGUGCCACUUGCUGGAGCACAGUAAUCUUUAUUAUUACUAGAUAAGGAA